rnacentral:snRNA from 1 species
UAACUCUGGUGUCUCCUCAUUUGCGGAUAAAUCUUUCGCCUUUUACUAAAGAUUUCCGUGGGGAGGCACAAUAUAAUGAGUUUUGCCUCAUUUUUUUCAGCUCUGUCUUUGGAUGGAGU